GUUCCUAUAAUUCAGUGGUUUAGAAUGCCAGAUUGCAAAUCUGUUUGUCCCUGGUUCGAAUCCGGGUAGGAACU
rfam:Candida parapsilosis strain CDC317 annotated contig 005809